CACAGCCCCUUGAACGUAGGGCAAAAUGAAGUCAACGAAGCCAAGCGCCAUGGAGCCAAAAAUUUUGUGCUUUUGUAUUUGCCAAUUUUAAUGAGUGUAGAAAGCAAAUCCAAAAACCAAACAAAACGAAAACAUAAACAUAAAAAACAAAAUACAGAAACAUUAGCAAGAAUAACACCUACAACAACACAUUAUAAAGAAUUUUGUACAACAAAAACAAAAACAUAAUCAAAAAGAAAACUUGCAAACAAAAACUCACUUCCAACAAUAACAAAAAUAACAGCACGUUUACACAAUGUGACAAUAACAUAGAGAGAGAGCAAAGAGAGUGAGAGAGCACUGAGAGUGAGAGCAAGAGAGCGCACAAAGAGGAAUCAAAUUGCACCGUUUUAGAAUGAGAAAAAGUAACUGAAAAAGCAACAACAACAACAGCAACAACAAGAGCACCAGCAACAGCAACAGUGAUAGAAAAACGCACAAGCAAACAAAUAAAAUGCAAAUCAAAAGAUUAACAAAUAUAAAUACCAUUUAAUACAGAUAAAUACCAGCAGCAGCAUUUUUCCCCUCGUCUACUCCUUUGCUUGCCAAAUGAAUGCCUUUGCACCACUACCAAUACACUCUCGGUGUCUCCCGUCGCCUUAGUGUGUCUGUGUAACCUCCCAGCAUCUACCCCCGCCCUAGCCACGUAUGUGUCCCGCUCCCGCAUCCGCCAACAAAAUCCACGAUCCACGGUGUCCACAAAAUCCACAAUCCAUGGUCUCCGUGUGCGUGUGUGUGUGUGUGUAGCACCCAAGUAGAGACCUAGAGCACGCACCCCACCAAAAAUUAAUAAUACACCAAACCAAAACCAAAGCAAAAUCAAAACCAAACCAAUUAGCACCAUCACAACCACGGUUAAGAAGCAGCAGCAACAAGAAGAAGAAGCAGAACAAGCAGUGCAGCAGCCUGAAGGCAGGUCAGUGUCGUCGCUUCGUGUCAAGGGGGGGGGUGCACGAAAGUAGAAAAAACCCCGAAACCGAAACCGAACCACCACCACCCACUUCCUGGUCCCGAACUGCUCUUCCUCUGAUAUCUGACAACGGAUAUCUGAUACCACCAAACCAAACCACAUACCAGCACCACAAUUGCACAUUACUACCAUAGAUACCCCAGGCAGUACUACUACCGCAUGGAGCGCGGCGGCACCAGCGGUGGUCAGCAGCAACAUCAGCACUCCUCGCAGCAGCAACAGCAGCAGCAGUCGCACCACCAAUCGCACCACCAGCGCCACCAGCAUGUGGUCGCCGUGCACAGUUAUGAUCCAUAUUUGACGGCGGGUGGGGCGGACGAGGAGCAUACCUCGGGCACAUCGUCUUUUGACAAUCCCGCCACGAAGAAGAAACCGCCCAAGCUGAAGCCCAUCCAUCGAUCCCUCUCGAUGGCCAUCGACAAUUAUGCGCCCGCUACGUCCUCCGUCUCAAUGGGGGAUCUUGGUCUGGACAUGGAUCUUGAUCUUGAGUUGGAUAUGGAUGGGCAUGGGAUACUUAUCGGUGAUCAGCCGCUGAUCCAUCGCUCCGCCUCGCCGCUGCCCCUGUCCAGGUCGGCUGUCGCCCUACAUCCCUCACCGCAGACCCUAGCCCUCCCAGCACAACAGCAACAUCUACCCCAUCCAGCCCCCGGUAUCCAGCAGCAGCAGCAGCAGCGCGCUGGCAGUGGUGCCGUUUCCCCAGCUCUCUCUGCCCGCCAACAACACCAUCACCACCUCCUCCAACAACAACAACAGCUACACCAUCAGCAUCAACAACAACAACAGAAACAUCAACAACAACAACAACAACAACAAGUACACCACCAGCAACAACAACAACAACAACAGAUGCAUCUGCACACUUUUCAGCAUUUGGCCGCACAGGCAGCUGCUGCGCGGCAUCCGCAAUCGCACCACCAGCAAUCGCACCGCCAACAUCCCCAUACGCAUCCGCAUCCGCAUUCGCAUCCGCUUCCGGCUAGCUCACCCACCUCCCACGCGGUGAGCCCAGUGCUCGGCCAGCAGCAGCAGCAGCAGCAUCAGCAGCAGCAGCAUCGCCAGCAGCCGGACAUUUAUUUGGUCAGCAGCAGCAGCCUGGGCGAUGGUGCGGGCUUGGGUGUGGGUGCGGGAAUGGGCCUGGGCAUGGGUAUGGGCAUGGGCAUGGGCAUGGGCCGCUCGCCGUUGGGCGGGAGCACAUCCCCCAUACAGUUUAUCGAUGUGGAUGAUGUGCCCAACCCGACGGUUGCCGCCGCCGCCGCCGCCCACCGCCCCACGAUGCACACCCAUCCGCUGAAGAAGAACAUGUUCCGGCGCUCCGACACUAUUGACGUCCAUCCGUCUACCAAUUUUCAGAUGAAGAAAACCCACUCCUUCCACGCCCAACAGGAUCCCGCCGCCCUGGAUCAGAUACAGUUGGCCGUGUCCGCCGGCUCGGCAGCCUCCAGCCGUCGCACCAGCUCCGUGCGGGGCAACUUCCUGAUGCCGGGUCCGCCCGGCGGUGCGGGCGCUGGCAAGGAAAUCUCGCGCUCUCCCUCGCCCAGCAGGCGUGGCUGCCGCUCGCAUCGCUCGUUCAAUGAUCCGGGCCGCAGGCCCAGCACGAAGCCCGAGUCCGUGGUGGAGUCACAGAUCCGGCAUCCCUCGCUGAACGAUGACCUCAUGGAGCCGAUGGACGGACGCAAUCUCUUUCCCCCCACCAAUCUGUCGCUGGAGAACGAACUCUUCGUGGAGUCGCGUUCGCGCAGCAACAGCCACACGAAGAUGGAGGAGCUGGGCCUCGCCCAACUGACUGCCGCCGCUGUGGCCGUGCAGCGACUGCGCAAGGCCUCCGGAUCCUUUGAGGAUGCGGCAGGCAGCGCCGCCACCCAUCCGCCGCCCUCUGCCUCGAACAGCGUGAAGCAGAAACGCGAGCCGCAUCCCCACUCCCGCCAGCAGAGCACCCACAGCCUUGAGCUGGACGGACGACCCUCCACAUCCGCAGCAGCGGCGGCAGCAGCAGCAGCAGCGGCAGCGGCAGCGGGCGGAGGCCAUCCCCACCAGCAUCCCCUGCAGCUGCACAGCGCUGCGGCGGCGGCCAGUGCGGCCUUCCACUUCAAGCGAGGGGCACAGCAUGGACGCUCGCUCUACCUCUCGCCCAGCAAUCUGGAGGAGCUGACGGUGCACCGGCCGGGCGUGCUGGCUGCGGCUGCCGCCUUCCAGGGCACCAACGCCAGUGCGAGCGUGAAGCAGGCAAAGGCGCUGCACAGUGCCAGCAUGCGGCUGAGGAGCUAUCGGGAGACGCUGAGUGCGUCGAAGAAGUCAAAGAGCUUCAUUGGGGAUGCGGGCGUGAUGCCGGGCGCAUCCCAGGCGGACGAUGACUUUGAGCUGAGCUCACCCCACCGACGCAACAGUCGUCCGCUGUCGACGGCCGUGCCCGGCACGAGCGUGAAUCUGGACGAGAUCAAGCGCAGCCCCCGUCCCAUUUCGAUAUCUGCGUCAGCGGCGGCGGCCGCCUUCAUCGACGAGAAGCGGCCGAGCUUCGAGCGGAAGUCCUCGCUGAGCUUCGAUCAGCACGAGCUGGCGGAUGCCGCCUUCGCCGCUCAGGUGCUGCGCCCGUUUCAUCACAAGCUGGCCGCCGGGCGGAAAGGCUCUGUGGGCGGGGGCUCGCACAAGCUGAAGAAGAAGUCGCUGAGCGACGAGACGGACGAGGACGAGGAGGCGGAUCGCAAGCGCAAGCGAAUCGUCUGCAUUGUCCUGGCCACCGUGCUCCUGUGCCUUGUAUGCGCCAGCGUAUUCGUUGUCGUCGUCACGCUCACCUCCGGCACCAGCCAGUCCGGCAAGAAGGCGCACUCCUUCAGCAGAGACACCCCAGUCCACUACACUGGCAUGCGGCCAUCAUGAACUCCAGGAGUGACGAGGAGGAGGAGAAUGAUGCUUACCCCACGGCUGGCCUGCGACUCGAUUUCGUUUUCACUUCCGCUUCGAUUUUGUGUUUCUGCAUCGUCCCUCCUGCGUUGGGUUCCUGUUUGCAAAUUGGGUUUCCUCUGUGUCUCCGGCUUGGACACUGAUUCCCCUACAGCCGGAUUGGGCCACGGGCAGGAGCAACAGCAGCUGCAACAAUCGAUUGCGCCUUCCGACAGGAGAACGAGCGAAGCAUCAGGGAGAACAUGGAGCGCACGCGAAUGAUGAAGAAUCGCACGGAGCUGAACAUGGCGCGACAACAUCUGAUGGAAAUGCAUAUGCACGUUCCAUAACAGCAGCCAAGGAGCAACAGGAGCAUCCCCAGCAGCACCCAAUCAUCGGCAGGAAGGAAGUAAGGGCCACGAUACCACGACCAAGACAAGGCAACAAGUUUGUGACAAGGCCAAAAAGGGGGAAGUACCAAGCGCUCUUCCUUCCGCUGCAGCUCUCUGCUCCUUCGCUAUCUUCCAUUGACCCUCCCUCCACACAAAUGUUAUGCGCACAAAGGUAAAAAUAAUAACAAUAAAAACAAACGAAUCAAAGGAAUAGAAAUGCAACAGAAGGGCGUGCUCCCCGACCUGCCACUUGUUUUUGUAUCUCAAAUGUGCGAAUUGGAAGCGCGAUUUAAACCAAAAAUAAAUGUUAAAGCGUAAAGUAAAACCAAAAGUGAUCCAGUCUAGUCAAUAGUCAAAAACAAAUGUUGUUAAUAGAGUUUGCUGAUCGCUAUUUAAGUGCAGUCCGAACUGGUUGGAAAGCUAAACAAAAUAAUUUCAAACUUGAAUAUUUUGAUUGGUUUUUUAAUUAACUAUUCCCAGAGCCAACCAGAAGGGAUUGUUGUUCUGUUUGUAAUUGUUGUGCCGGAUCUGUCGACGCCAAAUCUCUCUGCGAGCAAAGGUUUCGAUUUCGAUUGGUUUCCAAAUGCUUUUUAUUUUUCUUUUGGCUUAGCUUUUACCCAUUUGGUUAUUUGGCGUCGAUGGAGGACUAAAAGUUGGUCAGUAGUUAUGUGUGUAUCGAAACUAAGUUGUUAACUGAAUAAAAAGUAAUCCUAAGUAAAUGUUAAAGAACGUAAAAGCAAAGAAAAAAGUAAAUGCAGCUGAAAACGGAACUAGGAACAGGCAAAACAGAGGCAAACAGAGCGAAACAUUUCGUAUAAAGUAACAAUAAUAAUACUAUGAAGCAUAACUGAAGCAAAAGAACAGAGAGAUUAAACGCGCAAUGAAUCGUUGUAUAGCCGUAAAUAAACACUAAAGCUAAAACUAAAACUAAAUACAAAUAAUUAGCAGAUGAGUAAAUAAAUGUUAGGAAAUGUAGCGGAUCGAUGUGAAAAAAGAACAAAAAACUGUUACUUAAGUGCAAAACGAGCUUGUUGUCGAAUUAAUUUUAAAAAUGUUUAUUACAUUAAGUGACAAAAACUAAGCGUAAAGGUUUAAAUGUGUUUUUUUAGGUGUUCAACUGUUGCAAACUAAUUUUGUGGCCCCAGGGGCGGCAGAAGCAUUUCAGAUCGCUGUGUAUCAUACGAGUAUAUAAAUACAUACAUUAACUACAUAUACAUAUACAUAUAUGUAUAUUACUAUAUUUAAUUUCAUGUUUUCCUAUGCUAACUCAGUUGCAGGUUUAGCUUGAAGCAUAAUCAUAUCGGUUUCAGCAUUGGCGGCUUGGCAAAGAUUGUGAAUUUGCAUCCAGCCCCCGAACCUAUGCUCCCCUCUUCACUACCAUCUCCUCUUGAGUGUUUUUCCAAGCGGCAAACACUUGCCAAACGAUUUUGUGUCCGGGCACAGUCAAUUAAUUGGAAUUAAACAGCUGCAGACAACACUGACUGGCUGUCUCGUCCCUGGGCUUUACAUGCAUAUGUACAUAAAACAUACAUAAAUACAUACAUACGAGUAUAUACGAGUAGAAACUGGAGUUUCAGUGUGGGGUUGGGGCAGAGGUUUGUUGAAGACAAAGCUUUAAAUUAGCUCAAUAAAUUGCAGAAGUAAACAUUGAAAUUGCAUUAAACCGGAUCCGGCGUUGAGUGCAUUACGCGACGGACGAAAGACAGAAAAACACAAGCACGGAGACACAGAUACAGCUACAGCUUAACAGAUUUCGAGAAUUUGCAUUUCGGCCAAGGAAUCAAUUUCACAUUUGACCAGAGAACAAAUAUGGCCAAGACACAAACACACACACACACACACACACACACACUGACACAACAUAAUCUAUAGAUAAACGAGAAAAAGUACGGUACUUAGCCAAGGCAUUUAGGGGGGCAUCAAACGAAUGGGUUGGGGAAAUGUAUCAGCUGGCAGAGAGAGAGAGAGAGAGAGAGAGAGAUGUGUACAUACAUCGUAAGUACUUACUUGGGGGUUUGGCAGACAACAAAUAAAAACACUAAUUUAACCGAUGCAACAAACAAAACAAACAAAAAAAUUAAUAAACUAACGUAAAUUGUCUGUAAUUGUGCGUAGAUGCGUAAGUGUGUAAAUUGUAAGCUGAAUUAUUAUACAAUAAAAAUACAAAAAUAAUAAUGAAAACCAAAACUACGUUCAGCCGAAGCGAAGCCACUGAGCGGCACGGCAACACUGGAAAAAUACUCGUAACAUUUGUAAGCCAGAAAUAAACAGUAAUAAACAGACAAAACAGAAUAACGGUAAACAGUAAACACAGUUUAAGCGCAAACUGCAAAAACAGAAUAUUAAGUAUUAAAUGUACCACAAUCAAAAUUGUUUCCCCCGAAAAAUCAAACUUUUUAGCCUUUGAACGUGAGACUUUGGUGCCCAAAAAUCAAUUUUGAGCAAUUAUUUACAAUGAAAAUACGAAAGAAAACUCAUACACACAGACACACACUAAUGUAAAUAGCAAAGCGGCAAACGGUGGCAAAAACAAUAAAUACAACAAAAUGGGCUUGCUGCAAACCGCAUAAAUAAAUAUUAAAUUAAUUAACAACGGAAAUCAAAAGAUACCGAGAAAAACACACACACAAACAACACACACACACACACACACGCGCAGAAAAAAAGGAAAAACUGAUGAAACUUCAAAACCUGAUGCACAGGCAUCAACUUUAACUGUUAAUUGUUGCUCGAAAUAAACGUAAACGUAAAAACAAAUACAAUACAUAAAUAAUUAUAAACGAACAAGAAAUUAA